CCUGCCCACUGAAUUUUAAAGGGCCGCGGUAUUUUGACCGUGCGAAGGUAGCAUAAUCAAUAGUCUUUUAAUUGAAGGCUGGAUGAAUGGUUGAAUGAGAUAUAUACUGUUUUUUUAAAAAUUUUUUAGAACUUUAUUUUUUAAUUAAAAAGUUAAAAUAUAAUUAAAAGACGAGAAGACCCUAUAGAUCUUUAUUUUUAUAAAAUUAUAAUUUAUGAAUUUUAAUAAUUAUAUAAUAAAAAAUUUUACUGGGGUGGUAUUAAAAUUAAAUUAACUUUUAUUAUUUAUUAACAUAAAUUUAUGAAUAAAAGAUCCUAUUUUAUGAUUAAAAAUUUAAGUUACCUUAGGGAUACACGUAAUUUUUUUAGAGAGUUCUUAUCGAUAAAAAGAUUGCGACCUCGAUGUUGGAUUAAGAGUUAUUUUUAGGUG
rnacentral:rRNA from 1 species